rnacentral:misc_RNA from 1 species
CCGCCACCAAUUGCUCUUUUCGGACACCGUUUAUCUCGAAAUUGUUUUAACAACGACUGCUGAGCGUUCCCGGUAUUCGACUGAUUCACAGACGAGAUAUUCUACUGACUCGAAUAAGCCUGUACUAAAUCUGCUAGAACCUUACUCUACGCUAAAUUUUCGAAUGAAAGGGAAGAACGGACACGCAGGACGAUUACUAUGAGCCACUGUCACGGUCGGUGUGAUUGGAAAGCGUCCUGGUGGACGGAAAUGGGAACGCCCACGCGAUAUUAGCACGGUCGCCCCGUGAAUUGAACUCCAUGA